GGGUAGGUACCCAAGCGGCCAACGGGGGCAGACUGUAAAUCUGCUGACUUACGUCUACGCUGGUUCGAAUCCAGCCCUGCCCACCA
rnacentral:tRNA from 1 species